rnacentral:misc_RNA from 1 species
GACAAGGCAUGUAACAACUGUAGGAAGACUGGUCAUUUGGCACGUGACUGUCAAAAUGCUCCUAUUUGCAACAUGUGCAAUGUAUCUGGGCAUGUGGCUAGACACUGCCCAAAAGCCAAUACGCUUGGAGAUUUUCGCAGCAGCAGUUACCAGGACAUUGUGUGCAGGAACUGCCAUCAGUAUGGGCACAUUAGCAGGGAUUGCAUGGGCCCAUUAAUGAU